CUAAAAAAUAAAAGAAUUGGUUGAAAAAAAUAAAGAAAGUCAAGAAAAAUAUGAAUAAUUGGAUCUCAAAAGUUGGAUCCAAAAAUGUUUGAAAAUGAUAAAAAAUUAAAUGGAAAAUGAGAAUUAAAUGAAAAAUAAAGAAAAAUAUCAAUUAAAGGCAAAAAUGAUUUUAAAAAUUAUGGAAAAAACAUAUGUGAUAAAAAAUAUUUUUAUGGAUUUUCUGUAAAACAAUUGGAGCAAAAAAGAGUUAAGAACCAAUCAUAAUUAAAUAAGAAAUUGAAAAGGAAAAAAAAAGAAAAAAAAAAGAAAAAGGCGCAAACGGCUAGAAUUUGAAAAAGGUGUGUAUCAUGUUGUGAUUGGCCAGAUUUGAAUGUUUGACACCAUAACAUGCGCAUCAACUUCAUCUUCAACCUUGAGUUGAUU
rnacentral:lncRNA from 1 species